UAUAUAUAUGUUUCACAUUUGAACUGAAUUACUGGAAAAAAGUAACUUUUCAAUUAUAUUUUAAUUUUUUUAAAAGCACUAGUAUAUUAAUUUAUAUAUUCUGCGCCGGGGCUUUUAUUAUGAAGUGGCGGAUUAGCCUGUUUCUUAACUGGCGAUGCUAACGGUGUUUCGGAGCUGAAUUAAUCCUAUUUAUUAACAGCAGGUGGACGGAGCUGUGCUGGUUAAAUUAGUAGGUUCUGGGGUUUGUUAUAAUGUGUGAAUUAUGGCUUUAAUUCACUCCAGUCUUUAGUUAUUUACCUCAGAAUCCCGGCAUGCAGCUAUCGGCUCAAUGCUAGGUAACAGCCGAGCUCAGCAGUGCGGGUUGGAGCGUGUUAGCCUGGAUGCUAACUGGAUAUGGACAAUGCACGUCCACAUACUGCUGCCAGCUCAAAUCUGCAGGAUCUGAGUGAGAAUAUUCCAGCUACAUGGGAUGGAUUAUUACAGGACUCCAUUAGGAACCUCUACAACUCCAGGCUGAGACUUUUGGCAUGUUGCAUUACACAUACUUAAUGACGAUGAGCAAGAGAUUCUCAAAUCAGUCAAAUGUUUAUCAAAUUUAUCAUUAAAUUUUUUCUAGUAAC